rnacentral:rRNA from 1 species
UACAGAGGUCUCAAGCGUUGUUCGGAUUCAUUGGGCGUAAAGGGUGCGUAGGCGGCGCGGUAAGUCCGCUGUGAAAGUCGGGGGCUCAACCCUCGAAAGCCGGUGGAUACUGUCGGGCUAGAGUGCGGAAGAGGCGAGUGGAAUUCCUGGUGUAGCGGUGAAAUGCGCAGAUAUCAGGAGGAACACCGAUUGCGAAGGCAGCUCGCUGGGACGUAACUGACGCUGAGACGCGAAAGCGUGGGGAGCAAACAGG